GCGGCGUGCUUAACACAUGCAAGUCGAGCGAAGCGAUUUUGAGGAAGUUUUCGGAUGGAAUCGAAAUUGACUUAGCGGCGGACGGGUGAGUAACACGUGGGUAAUCUGCCUUAUACAGGGGGAUAACAGUUAGAAAUGACUGCUAAUACCGCAUAAGCGCACGGGGACGCAUGUUUCUGUGUGAAAAACUCCGGUAGUAUAAGAUGAGCCCGCGUCUGAUUAGCUGGUUGGUGGGGUAACGGCCUACCAAGGCGACGAUCAGUAGCCGGCCUGAGGGGGUGAACGGCCACAUUGGGACUGAGACACGGCCCAAACUCCUACGGGAGGCAGCAGUGGGGAAUAUUGCACAAUGGGGGAAACCCUGAUGCAGCGACGCCGCGUGAGUGAAGAAGUAUUUCGGUAUGUAAAGCUCUAUCAGCAGGGAAGAAAAUGACGGUACCUGACUAAGAAGCCCCGGCUAACUACGUGCCAGCAGCCGCGGUAAUACGUAGGGGGCAAGCGUUAUCCGGAUUUACUGGGUGUAAAGGGAGCGUAGACGGCGCGGCAAGUCUGAAGUGAAAGGCAGGGGCUUAACCCCUGAACUGCUUUGGAAACUGCCAUGCUAGAGUGCUGGAGAGGUAAGUGGAAUUCCUAGUGUAGCGGUGAAAUGCGUAGAUAUUAGGAGGAACACCAGUGGCGAAGGCGGCUUACUGGACAGUAACUGACGUUGAGGCUCGAAAGCGUGGGGAGCAAACAGGAUUAGAUACCCUGGUAGUCCACGCCGUAAACGGUGAAUACUAGGUGUUGGUGGGCAAAGCCCAUCGGUGCCGCCGCAAACGCAAUAAGUAUUCCACCUGGGGAGUACGUUCGCAAGAAUGAAACUCAAAGGAAUUGACGGGGACCCGCACAAGCGGUGGAGCAUGUGGUUUAAUUCGAAGCAACGCGAAGAACCUUACCAGGGCUUGACAUCCCGGCGACCGGUGUAGAGAUACACUUUCUUCUUCGGAAGCGCCGGUGACAGGUGGUGCAUGGUUGUCGUCAGCUCGUGUCGUGAGAUGUUGGGUUAAGUCCCGCAACGAGCGCAACCCUUAUUCUUAGUAGCCAGCAGGUAAAGCUGGGCACUCUGGGAAGACUGCCAGGGAUAACCUGGAGGAAGGUGGGGAUGACGUCAAAUCAUCAUGCCCCUUAUGAUUUGGGCUACACACGUGCUACAAUGGCGUAAACAAAGGGAGGCAAAGGAGUAAUCUGGAGCAAACCCCAAAAAUAACGUCUCAGUUCGGACUGUGGUCUGCAACCCGACCACACGAAGCUGGAAUCGCUAGUAAUCGCGAAUCAGAAUGUCGCGGUGAAUACGUUCCCGGGUCUUG
rnacentral:rRNA from 1 species